UCUUCUCAAACUGUUCGAGAAUCUUAGAAGGAAAACCCAAGGUUCGCCUACCUCCAUCUUGUUCUCCUUCAUUUCUUAAUUAUUUUAUGUUCUGUUUAAACAAUUGGAUUCAGGAGAAGCUUUUGUACCUUGGGUCAAGAACGUUUUUCAUUGUAAUCAUCGUUUUGGAACUCCACCAUUACCAACAGUUCGGGUAACACCAUUAACAACGGUUCAAGAACCCUAUCUCUUGCUGAACUUGUCUACUAUAUUGUACAAGGGAGUGAUAUCGACUUUCGUGGCCUUAUUUCGUCAGAUGAUAAGUGUAAGACAGAUAAGACUCCAGGCUUUCCUUGUCUCAUUUGAAGGAUUCUUAGUCAGUACAUCAUUACUCCUUUUGGAACCAACCUUGGAGGACGAAAAGUCUUAACCAUGGAAAGCAUCGGAAAGAUGAUCAGAACUCUUGCUAGAACUUCAGCUCAAAAUCCUGAGUUUAUCCGUCUUCAACAACAGGUUGAAUGCUUGAAGGAGCAAGUGGAUUAUACUUUGGAAGCUCAUCCAGAACUGGCUGAACCGUUUGAUGAAAUUUCUAAGGGCUUUUAUAACAACUUGGAUUAACUGGAUUUUCAUGUUUGUUAUGUGGUUAUGUUUUGUUCUCUUAUGAUGUUUCUGUUGAACUUAUUAUGUCGAACUUAUUAAAACUGUUAUCUUGUAGUGGUUGUAAUAACUUUAAUGGUAUUUUAUCUUUGAAUUA